UCCUACGGGAGGCAGCAGUGGGGAAUUUUGGACAAUGGGCGAAAGCCUGAUCCAGCAAUGCCGCGUGAGUGAAGAAGGCCUUCGGGUUGUAAAGCUCUUUUGUCAGGGAAGAAACGGUGCGGGCUAAUAUCCCGCACUAAUGACGGUACCUGAAGAAUAAGCACCGGCUAACUACGUGCCAGCAGCCGCGGUAAUACGUAGGGUGCAAGCGUUAAUCGGAAUUACUGGGCGUAAAGCGUGCGCAGGCGGUUUUGUAAGUUUGUCGUGAAAGCCCCGGGCUCAACCUGGGAAUUGCGAUGAAGACUGCAAGGCUUGAAUCUGGCAGAAGGGGGUAGAAUUCCACGUGUAGCAGUGAAAUGCGUAGAGAUGUGGAGGAACACCGAUGGCGAAGGCAGCCCCCUGGGUCAAGAUUGACGCUCAUGCACGAAAGCGUGGGGAGCAAACAGGAUUAGAUACCCUGGUAGUCCACGCCCUAAACGAUGUCUACUAGUUGUCGGGUUUUAAUUAACUUGGUAACGCAGCUAACGCGUGAAGUAGACCGCCUGGGGAGUACGGUCGCAAGAUUAAAACUCAAAGGAAUUGACGGGGACCCGCACAAGCGGUGGAUGAUGUGGAUUAAUUCGAUGCAACGCGAAAAACCUUACCUACCCUUGACAUGGACGGGAGCCACGAGAGAUCGAGGUGUGCUCGAAAGAGAACCGUCACACAGGUGCUGCAUGGCUGUCGUCAGCUCGUGUCGCGAGAUGUUGGGUUAAGUCCCGCAACGAGCGCAACCCUUGUCAUUAGUUGCUACGAAAGAGCACUCUAAUGAGACUGCCGGUGACAAACCGGAGGAAGGUGGGGAUGACGUCAAGUCCUCAUGGCCCUUAUGGGUAGGGCUUCACACGUCAUACAAUGGUACAUACAGAGGGCCGCCAACCCGCGAGGGGGAGCUAAUCCCAGAAAGUGUAUCGUAGUCCGGAUUGUAGUCUGCAACUCGACUACAUGAAGUU
rnacentral:rRNA from 1 species